rnacentral:rRNA from 1 species
GAUCCUGGCUCAGGAUGAACGCUGGCGGCGUGCUUAACACAUGCAAGUCGAACGAAGCAGUUUAUUACGAUCCCUUCGGGGUGACGAUUACUGACUGAGUGGCGGACGGGUGAGUAACGCGUGGGUAACCUGCCUUGUACAGGGGGACAACAGUUGGAAACGACUGCUAAUACCGCAUAAGCGCACAGCUUCGCAUGAAGCAGUGUGAAAAGUAUUUUCGGUACAAGAUGGACCCGCGUCUGAUUAGCUAGUUGGUGAGGUAACGGCCCACCAAGGCGACGAUCAGUAGCCGACCUGAGAGGGUGACCGGCCACAUUGGGACUGAGACACGGCCCAAACUCCUACGGGAGGCAGCAGUGGGGAAUAUUGCACAAUGGGCGAAAGCCUGAUGCAGCCGACGCCGCGUGAGCGAAGAAGUAUUUCGGUAUGUAAAGCUCUAUCAGCAGGGAAGAUAAUGACGGUACCUGACUAAGAAGCACCGGCUAAAUACGUGCCAGCCGCAGC